rnacentral:rRNA from 1 species
UACGUAGGGGGCAAGCGUUGUCCGGAAUUAUUGGGCGUAAAGCGCGUGUAGGCGGCUCGGUAAGUCUGCUGUGAAAGUCCAGGGCUCAACCCUGGAAUGCCGGUGGAUACUGUCGAGCUCGAGUCCGGAAGAGGCGAGUGGAAUUCCUGGUGUAGCGGUGAAAUGCGCAGAUAUCGGGAGGAACACCAAUGGCGAAGGCAGCUCGCUGGGACGUGACUGACGCUGAGACGCGAAAGCGUGGGGAGCAAACAGG